rnacentral:rRNA from 1 species
CCUACGGGAGGCAGCAGUAGGGAAUCUUCGGCAAUGGGCGAAGCCUGACCGAGCAACGCCGCGUGAGCGAUGAAGGCCUUCGGGUCGUAAAGCUCUGUUGUUAGAGAAGAACAAGUACGAGAGUAACUGCUCGUACCUUGACGGUACCUAACCAGAAAGCCACGGCUAACUACGUGCCAGCAGCCGCGGUAAUACGUAGGGUGCGAGCGUUAAUCGGAAUUACUGGGCGUAAAGGGUGCGCAGGCGGCCCCGCAAGUCAGGCGUGAAAUCCCCGGGCUUAACCUGGGAAUGGCGCUUGAAACUACGGGGCUGGAGUAUGGCAGAGGGAGGUGGAAUUCCACGUGUAGCGGUGAAAUGCGUAGAGAUGUGGAGGAACACCAGUGGCGAAGGCGGCUCUCUGGUCUGUAACUGACGCUGAGGCGCGAAAGCGUGGGGAGCGAACAGGAUUAGAUACCCUGGUAGUCCACGCCGUAAACGAUGAGUGCUAAGUGUUAGAGGGUUUCCGCCCUUUAGUGCUGCAGCAAACGCAUUACGCACUCCGCCUGGGGAGUACGGCCGCAAGGCUGAAACUUAAAGGAAUUGACGG